CGCGUAGGCGGUUUGAUCAGUCGGAUGUGAAAGCCCCGGGCUCAACCUGGGAACUGCAUUCGAUACUGUCAAACUAGAGUGUGGUAGAGGGAAGUGGAAUUCCAGGUGUAGCGGUGAAAUGCGUAGAUAUCUGGUGGAACAUCAGUGGCGAAGGCGACUUCCUGGACCAACACUGACGCUGAGGUGCGAAAGCGUGGGGAGCAAACA
rnacentral:rRNA from 1 species